rnacentral:rRNA from 1 species
UACGUAGGGGGCGAGCGUUAUCCGGAAUUAUUGGGCGUAAAGAGUGCGUAGGUGGUUUUUUAAGCGUGGGGUGAAAGGCAAUAGCUUAACUAUUGUAAGCCCCGCGAACUGGGAGACUUGAGUGCAGGAGAGGAAAGCGGAAUUCCUAGUGUAGCGGUGAAAUGCGUAGAUAUUAGGAGGAACACCAGUGGCGAAGGCGGCUUUCUGGACUGUAACUGACACUGAGGCACGAAAGCGUGGGGAGCAAACAGA